GUGAAACAGUCCCAGUAAACAAACGAUCAAAAGCUAUAUACAAAAGUAACAAAGAAAACUGAAACAUUAAACACUAUACAAAAGGAAACAAAAACAAAUAUAAAUAGAUCUACGCAAACUCCUCCAAUGACAAAUUUCUCACGGCAUCACACUUGCAAGCUCGCUCGGCAGGUUAACUGACAGCCAAAAGUUCUUUCAGGCUCCUCUUUAUAGCCCAAGCCCCGCCCCUUUUGUUAAAACCAUUACAUAAAUUUAGUGGGUAAGUAUUUCAGGUGAGUAUGUAUACUUUUCACAACAUCACAAAAAUAUAUACACACAAAAAUAGCAAAAUAUUUACAAAAACAAACUCCAAACUAAAAAUAACAAAUACAAAUGUAGACACAUAAAACUAAGCAUAAUAAUAAUGACAAAUUUCCAUUAUCCCCCCUAACGAACCAAGACAAUGGACGAGCCGACUUCCGGUUGCUUCGCGCCGAUGCGGCCACACACAGCGGUCCUGGCACUAUUUAUCCAAGCCGCUGGGUGGCGCUCGGGUUCGGUCAAUCGAUGGUGGAGAAACAACGCGAAAGACCGGCAACACAGACGCUGAUAAACACCGAACACAGCAAGGAUUCUGAAGGGGAUGGAAAUGGAGUGGCUAUGUUUGCGUGUAUGAUGACCAGCGUGCUAAUGGCGUGCGUGUGCACCCAACGACCCAGCAGGGAACGGAGGAUGAGCGAAUUUGAGUCGUGACAUGUCAAUGGAGAACACAAGAAGGGUCAGGUGUUCUGUGAGGUCCUGCAAACAUACUGGCAAAAUGAGGUCACAGAAUCUCACCUCAUCCUCAAGGCACCAAACCAGAUCUAUUCUUCAGUCCCGUCCCUUCCCUAAAGCCCAGAUGGAGUUCGUUAGUAACCCAAAUCCUGGAAGAUUGUGAGAAUCAAACAGUUGUCAAACUUAACAACAGUGUGUGACGGCAUCAGACUUAUCCAAACCAAAUCUAGUGCCGUUAACAAUCUGUAAGUAUUGAUAAAAAGCUUUUCUGAUAACCACAAAGGAUCCUUCAUUGGCUUUUUGCACUCAAGUCUCUUCUAUUUUUGGAGACAAAUCACUCAGUCCUGGCUGUUUCCACCCAGUCAAUAAAGUCGCCUCACCGGUCUCUUUGUCUGAACCUAAUAUCCACUUACCCCGAGGCAGCACGGAUCUCAAGAGAACAUCUCCUCAGGGGGAAACGUGUCUGCUGGAGCUAUGAAAUUCACAACUUCUAUCACUUGAACCAUACAGCAUGUUAUAACCAGCACAGAUGACACCACAUUUGGUGAUUUUAAACUCAACAUCAAGUCUAGAAAUGACAUUUCCACUGAGCAAGAAAGAGAACAAAAACGUUUGACAUGUUUCUAAAAAUAGCAGUAAUCAUCAUUUAUGAAGCAUGCAUGUGUCUUGACUAGCAUACUCCAGUACUAUUUGUACUAUUUUGUUGUUUUAAAUCUGUGCACAGUAUUCAGCUUUUCUGUAGGCUAUGCACUGAAUACUACAAUAACUGCUGCAUUUGCUAAAAUUUAUAGGCCUAGCUGUGCAUUAAUGAUAAACAGUGCAUACAUUCUAUUUAUUUAUUCAUGCAUUUAAGUAUGCAGGAAAGAGAACAAAAAUUUAGCCAAAUUUGUCUACAAAUAUCAGCAAUCAACAGCAUUUAUGAAGCAUGCAAGUGAGAAUGGAUGUUUUUGGAAUAAUAUACUGCCAUACUAUUUGAACUGUGUGCAGCUUUUCUGCACUCACUUAAUACUUAGAUUAACUCUUUCAUUUGCCAAAAUAGGCUGCAUGAUAAUGUGCAUUGAUAAUAAAGAGUGUGUACAUUAUUCAUUUAUUUAUGCAUUUGUUUAUUUAUUUAUGCAUGCAUUUAUUUAAGUAAUAUAUAUGAAGCAUUUUAAGUCUGUACACUGUGCCCAGCAUGCAGUUUUUCAGUAUGCAUUGAUUGAAUACUUAAAUGAAUUGCUACAUUUGCUAUACACAAUGCAAUGCAUUCAAAAGCACCUAGUUUUUCAUCUUGACGAAAUAUGCAACUGCACAUUCUCCACCUGCCAAAAGUGAAAAAUUUGAUUUAAAAUGGAAUUUUUGAUGACUGGAUGAUGACACCCAUUGAACUAAGCAUGCAAUACAAUGAGAUCAUGUGACAAUAAUUCAGUUAUCGUUUGAGAUUGCAUAUUCUAUUUUUUGUACUGCAUUAUAUAGUAUGAAUCAGUGAGCAGUUCACUAGUACUUGGCUGUGGUUCUUCAUCUGUAGGGGUUUCAGUGGGCUUCGUGUGUGUGUGUGUGUGUGUGUGUACGGUAUUGGUGUGUCAUUCCGAAAUGUAACACUGCCAUCUAGAGUUUGGACUGAGGGAGUCUAGCAUCCUCCAUGAUGUUACUUUUCUCAGCACUCCUCAGCGCUGAAAGUGAACACUCGAUGCUGAUUGGUUCCCCUGCUUACACCCUCCCCCUCCCCUUUUCUUUCUCUUUCACCUAGCGGUGUAAUUACAUCCGCAGAUUCGGCACAUUCGCGAUAGAAAAGCGGAGCUUUCAUGUAAUGGUAUUGCAACUGUGAAAUUACAAACAAAAAUAUAUACAUUCUGGGACAAGAACUGACAUGAUUUUUUUUACAUCUUCCUCAUUUUCACCUCAAAAUUUGGGGGAAACUGUGACAUGAAUUUUAGCUUAUUAAGUGAAACUGAUUAAUUUUGGUAAAUAUUUUGCUAAAUGUGAUUUUGUGCUGGUAGUAGGCUAGUGCUGGCACCUUGUCUGGUUUAGGCCUUUCAUGCUUAAAUAAUGACAGCAAAUCCAUGGUUUAAGUAUUUACUGAAUCGUUCAAAUCAAACUUUUCGUUCAA